rnacentral:lncRNA from 1 species
ACUCCCCUUUCUCUUUUUGAUUUUCAUGCUGCCAUCCUAGCACAGGCUGGCCUCAAACUCAACCAUCCUCCUGUCCUAGUGCCGCCUGUUCUUGCUGGGUGCUAUUUCAAGGCUGUAUUCUCAAUAGCUGUAGAGAUAGAUAGACCUAUUUGUAGCUUAUGUAGCCUGCCAAUGUUCUAAGAAAAACACAUUUUCUUACUGCUGCCAACUGCCUAGUUAAUAUUGAUUUGAAUCAUAAUUUCUCCAAAUCUUAGAUUUUUAUGCUUUAAGUGAAAAUAUUACCCAAAUUACAGGUUAAUUGAAUCUAAUCAAUGUGAAAUUGCUUUGAAAGCCAGCAACUUCUCUGUAAAUUCUAAUUGUGUGCUCUAACAUUAUUGUUGAUAUCAGUGGUAUCAGUGAUAUUGUCUCAGGGGAGCAACUUAAGGUGGAGGUAAUUAAUUAUGUGAAUGUCUAGAGAGAGGAUACAUAUUAGUACCCAAAUGGACAUCAUCUACCAGAACAUAUUUUUUUUUCUCUUUCAGACCCAGUUUAUGGAGCCGGCAUAUAUUUCACCAAGAGCCUCAAAAAACUAGCAGACAAGGCCAGGAAAACCUCUAGCACAGACAGGCUAAUCUAUGUGUUUGAGGCAGAAGUACUCACAGGGUCCUUCUGUCAGGGUAAUUUCUCAAAUAUCAUCCCUCCGCCAUUGAGUCCUGGGGCUUUAGAUGUUCAUGACAGCGUGGUUGACAGUGUUUCCAACCCUGAAACCUUUGUUAUUUUUAGUGGCGUACAGGCGAUGCCCAGGUACUUGUGGACUUGUACACAGGAUAGGACAUUCUCACAGCAUCCAAUGUGGUCCCAGGGCUACUCGUCAGAACCAGGAAUGGCCUCUUCGCUGCAGUCCUGGGGAAGGGUCUCAAAUGGCAGCCCUGUUUAGUCUCCACGUCAUUUUAACAAGCAGAAGGGUUUGCGUGAACUGACAAAAAUGACGACCAUUAGUGACUUGAGUAACAGGUUAUCUGUUCAGAUUGAUGGGGUCACUAAAGGCACCAGCCACACACUAGCAUCUAGUGCCUUCACCAGUAGCUGGGCAGAUGCCAGCUAAAACUUCCUCACUGUCUUUUCUACUUGACAUCUUUUAUCUCCUUCCCUGUAGGUGACAGCAAGAAUACUUUAUAUAGAACAAGGAUUCUUUUUUCAAGUCUGUUAUUCUAAAAUGUGAUAGCACAAACUAGGACGACAGGAUGAUUUUGAUUUUUCUAUAUAAUUUUAUAAAGUGCUUUGGAUAUUCAAAUAAAUCACCUUUGUCUGAA